rnacentral:rRNA from 1 species
AGAGUUUGAUCAUGGCUCAGAACGAACGCUGGCGGCGUGCUUAACACAUGCAAGUCGAACGCGAAAUUUUUUCUUCGGAAGAAAGAGUAGAGUGGCGCACGGGUGAGUAACGCGUAAGUAAUCUACCCUGGCAUUUGGGAUAACCCACCGAAAGGUGGGCUAAUACCGGAUACGUUGGAAAUAUCCAAGAAAGGUGGCCUCUGAUUCAAGCUACUGUGCUGGGAGGAGCUUGCGUACCAUUAGCUAGUUGGUAGGGUAAAGGCCUACCAAGGCGACGAUGGUUAGCGGGUCUGAGAGGAUGAUCCGCCACACUGGAACUGGAACACGGACCAGACUCCUACGGGAGGCAGCAGUGAGGAAUAUUGCGCAAUGGGGGGAACCCUGACGCAGCGACGCCGCGUGGAUGAUGAAGGCCUUCGGGUCGUAAAAUCCUGUCAGAUGGAAAGAAAUGUAGGUGUGCUAAUAUCGCAUCUAUUUGACGGUACCAUCAAAGGAAGCACCGGCUAACUCCGUGCCAGCAGCCGCGGUAAUACGGAGGGUGCAAGCGUUGUUCGGAAUUACUGGGCGUAAAGCGCGCGUAGGCGGCUCUAUAAGUCAGAUGUGAAUGUCCACGGCUCAACCGUGGAAGUGCAUUUGAAACUGUCGAGCUUGAGUAUUGGAGGGGGUGGUGGAAUUCCCGGUGUAGAGGUGAAAUUCGUAGAUAUCGGGAGGAAUACCGGUGGCGAAGGCGACCACCUGGCCAAAUACUGACGCUGAGGUGCGAAAGCGUGGGGAGCAAACAGGAUUAGAUACCCUGGUAGUCCACGCCGUAAACGAUGUCAACUAGGUGUUGGGGAGGUUAAUCUUCUCAUUGCCGCAGCUAACGCAUUAAGUUGACCGCCUGGGGAGUACGGUCGCAAGAUUAAAACUCAAA